UUUAACCGGUAAAACAGAGAACUUUGACUUCUCAAAUGUAAGUUCAACCCUUAUCUUCCUAA
rnacentral:tRNA from 1 species